rnacentral:siRNA from 1 species
CCGAUGCAUGACAUGUCAGUAUGC